AUUGCACGCUGGCGGCAGGCCUAACACAUGCAAGUCGAACGAGUGGCGGACGGGUGAGUAAUGUCUGGGAAAAUGCCUGAUGGAGGGGGAUAACUACUGGAAACGGUAGCUAAUACCGCAUACCAUCAGAUGUGCCCAGAUGGGCGUAGCGAGUGGGUAGGGUAACGGCUAACCAAGGCGACGAUCCCGAGCUGGUCUGCGAGGAUGAACAGCCACACGGGAACUGAGACACGUUCCAGACUCCGACGGUAGGCAGCAGUGGGGAAUAUUGCACAAUUGGCGCAAGCCUGAUGCAGCCAGGCCGCUUGUAUGAAGAAGGCCUUCUGUUUGUAAAGUACUUUCAGCGGGGAGGCGUUACCCGCAGAAGAAGCACCGGCUAACUCCGUGCCAGCAGCCGCGGUAAUUC
rnacentral:rRNA from 1 species